rnacentral:rRNA from 1 species
CCUACGGGCGGCAGCAGUAGGGAAUAUUGCUCAAUGGGGGAAACCCUGAUGCAGCAACGCCGCGUGGAGGAUGAAGGUUUUCGGAUUGUAAACUCCUUUUGUUAGAGAAGAUAAUGACGGUAUCUAACGAAUAAGCCCCGGCUAACUACGUACCAGCAGCCGCGGUAAUACGUAGGGUGCAAGCGUUACUCGGAUUCACUGGGUGUAAAGAGAGCGUAGGCGGGAUAGCAAGGCAGAUGUGAAAGCCUAGGGCUUAACCAUAGAACUGCAUUUGAAACUGUUAUUCUAGAGUAUGGGAGAGGUAGGCGGAAUUCUUGGUGUAGGGGUAAAAUCCGUAGAGAUCAAGAGGAAUACUCAUUGCGAAGGCGACCUGCUAGAACAUAACUGACGCUGAUGCGCGAAAGCGUGGGGAGCAAACAGGAUUAGAUACCCGGGUAGUC